AGCCACUCAGAUGCUGCUAUGUGAAAGAGCCAUACUUGUUGCUUGCUGCUUGAACAUCUACUUUUUCUCCUCCAGUGUGUGAUAAACUUGGGAGAUCAUACACUGCAGUCGUGCCACUGGGGAAAAGACAGAGGAAAGGGGAAAGGGACAAGGAGGAAGAGAAGAAAAGGAGGAGGAAGAGAAGAAAAGGAGGAGAAAGAGCAGGAGGGAAAGAAGGCCCUGCCCCAUCGCUAAUGGAUGGUCCUAAGAGCCACACACACGACACCAUGAAGUCCUCACUGGCCACUGGAUGAAGGAAGACUGGCAGGAGGCAAAAGCCAGAAAAUAUCUUCGCAUGACCUGAAGAAGUGUUAUUCAGAUGGCAGUGCUGAGAAGGUGAGGUAGCUGCUUGGGACCUCCGCAGCGGGACGAUUCCACUCUGACACCGGAGAGGAGGCGCUGCUGUGCGCGGUGUUACAGCCAACAGAAACUGAGACGGGAAUUUCUGAUUUCUGGUCCAGCGUACUGAAACUGGCUGAGGUGUGGGCACGUAUGGA
rnacentral:lncRNA from 1 species